rfam:Oryctolagus cuniculus chromosome 3, whole genome shotgun sequence.
GCCCCACGCUGGCUGCGCCUGUUGGUCGCCUGGGACCCUGCUCGAGGAUUUUCGGAGCCUGUUGGAUUCACAGUGACACCUGGCCCCCUGGGGAG